CAUCUAGACUCUGAUUGGCCCCUGGGGAAGGAGCAGCCUGCUCAUUGGUCUCCACCUUCGAAUCUCGUCCCUAAGUAGGCCUGAGUCACUGAAGAGCUUUGGAGGGCGGGACUGCAUGGGGGUUAAUCAGAGGAUGCGAUUGCUGACCGUUUGCACUUUGGCAGGACCCAUCCCCUAAUUUCUGACCAGAAGCCCUCCCUCUACCCUAAGGUGAGGACUGUGCUAUGAAUCUUUUGUUAGAAAGCUACCUCUUGGGAGGCUCUGGGGGCUCUUCUGGGACUGGGAAGAGACAUCCAAGAAAAAAAGCCUCCUGUGGUUAGGAAGAGCCCCCAGGAGGAGUGGGCUGGGUCUCUCCAGUGAAAGCUGGGCUGGGCGAGGUGAGCACCCUCCCUCCUCCAAAAGCCCUGGAGAGCUCUCCAACGGUAGUCUCUGCUGCCCUGGGGGCUGAUGCUCUGCCCACUCCUGCUCCUUAGUCCGCUCCACCUUUCCUUAAAGAGCUAUAGCGUCCCGCAGAGGCUGGCGAGUCAGUUUGGGGAAUGUCUAAAAGAAGCACUCACGGCUCCAACAAGGAGGGGCUGUCGCCCUUUAAGGACUUCCCUGGGCUGGAUUCCGAGCUCAGUUUAAAAAUGCCAACUCACAGAGCGCGCUGGGUUCUGGGAACGACGGUGUCGGGCUGAGAACUACACGGACCAGCAUGCAUUGCAAACGCAGACGCCGUGACUUUCGCCUGCUCUUUAGGACUCUCGUUUGACGUAGCGCUUUUCUAAGCGGGUCGCUGACGCGAAGGGCUGGGCCACACCUGUCCGUCUAUUGGCCGGCUCGUCAGCGGGUGGGCGUGGCUUCGUGCAAUUCCGCCCGGCAAAAGGGUGGCCUCCUUGCCAAUCAGAGCCAGGGCGCCCGGAGAGGCGGGACCAGGGCGAGGCCCCGUCGGCCCCCGGGUGGGCGUGGCCACGUUGCCCAGCAGUGGGCGGUGAUUGGCCCCGGGCGGUGCCUUCGCAGCUCGUGCGUCACGACGCCGCCAGCUGAUCGGAGCCUGGAGCCGGUGUGUGCUGGGUACCGAGAAGAGACAGCGCCGCCGGCCGUGGGGAGCGGACGCAGCGAUUUGCUCCCCUUCGCGCAGCAACCCCCACACCCAGCACCAGGCCCCCAGAACUCUCCUUCCAGCUGAACUCUCUGAGAACAAGUCAGUUGGGCUGAUCACUGAACUCACAUUUCUGGACCUGAGACUCCAGUUCUGGAAAGAAGAGCAAGGGAAGUCUGUUUACAGUCGCCUCUUGCCGCUCAGUGAAGUUAACAGCUUCUGCAAGCCCAGGAGCCUGUUCCUCUCACACCCUCACCUGGCUGAGCCGCAGUAGUUCUUCAGUGGCAAGCUUUAUGUCCUGACCCAGCUAAAGCUGCCAGUUGAAGAACUGUUGCCCUCUGCCCCUGGCUUCGAGGAGGAGGAGGAGCUGCUUUCCCCAUCAUCUGGAAGGUGACAGAAAUGGGCUGGGAAGGUCCGAACAGCAGGGUUGAUGAUACGUUUUGGGAAAGUUGUAGAGCCUUUGCCCAGAUUGGCCCAGCAAGGAGCGGUUUUAGAUUAGAGACACUGGCUGAAUUGAGGAGUAGAAGGCUCAAACAACCCAAGGUUAGUUGGUCUUUGUGUGACAAUGGGAAGAAGUGGGGAGAACACUCUGUCUCCCCAACUUCCUUCUAGACCCUCCUUCCUUAUCUUUCAUUCUUCCCCACCGGCCUUUCCAGAUGAGGUCCAAAAGUAAGCUCACUCUUCAGGGAAAAGUGAUUCUAAACCCGGGUGUGAGGAGUCAUCCUUCUGCUCUUACUUUUCCCUGCAUUUCCUUAGGCUGGCCCAGACUCUAGAUUCCUGGGCACUUACCUAUUAUCUGAGACCCUUAGACUUCCUGUCUCAGUUUCUCCACCUGUGAGAUGGGCAGUCACACAGAUGAGUGUGCUGAGGGAAUCAGAAGCCCAUCUGUGUCGACUCAGAACCUGGGCUCUCCCCCUGCUGUGGGUGGAAACAAAACACCUUUUCACAUAAGCUGUUGUCCCUCCCCCAUCCCUGAUACCAUCACCCAGGAGCUGGGCGGGGGAAAGGGAAGCUGGAGGAGGGGGUUAGAGUUAGACCAAUGCAAGGAGCUAAUAAGAGCUCGCCUCUCUGUGACUUCCCCCUAUGCAAGGGUGGCCCAAGGCUUCCCUUGAUAUCCAAAGCAGGACAGCAGCCCCUUGGUGGGAUUCUAACUGCUGCUGCUCUGUUUUUUUCCUCACUUUGCUUUCCAAGGUGGUAUGUGAUCCCCAGCUCAGGCCUGUGCAGACAGGAAAUUCUCCGCUGCAGCAAGUAGGGGAGGUGGGUUGUGGGAUGUGACCUCCUUCUGGAUAUCAGGCAGUGAGUGUAAACCUGCCACCUCCAGCCCUGAUCCAUUCUCACCUAGCGGCUACAGGAAGCUGUGUCUGUUCGAUUUGGUGGGAGGAGAUGUGCAGGGAGCUGUAUCUUAUCCUCCGCUUGUGAAAAACUCAAGGAUGUGGAGAAGAGUAGACCGUGGAACCCUGCCCUUCUGCAACCAAGCUGAGGGGCAGGAUGCGUAUGGGACAGUGGUAGAGAAGCAGGGGAUAGACGCAUAGGCUGCAACAAAGGUCACUCUGUCCCUGGACACUGCCUCCGUACUUUCUCCUUCUUGCUUCACUGGCCACAGCAUCUCCCUCCAGCCCUCACUAUGUGCCUCUGCCAUCUUCACCCAUCAUGGAGCAGAGGUGAGGAAAGGCAGCCUGGGAAUGUGGAGACCAGUGAAGGACCAGGCCUGGAAAGCACAGGGUCCUACCUGGGCAUCCAGCAGAGGAGCCCCUAAAGGCCAGGAGCAACCCAAGAGGAGGGAGGACAGCCAGCCUCCAUCGACGGCGAGCCUCCAGCCCUCUCCUACUUUGAUCACCAUUUCUCUCCAGGCUUUCUGCCUCCGAGAUGUGGCACCAUAGUGCAGUGCCCUGUGGCUUCACCGCCCUACUUCCACCUCCGCCCAGCCUGUAAUGUUUAUAAAAGCAGCCUCAAGGACCAAGAACCAUCUGCGAAAGGACACACACAGGAAAUUCAUAAAAGAAAUCUGAAUGGAUAAAACCAUGAAAAAAAUGUAUGCUUCAUUAGUAAUUAAAGAAAGGCAAAUAGAGCUGAAAGCAUUUUUCCCUUAGCAAGCCAUGACAGAAAAAAAUAAGACCCAAUAUUGGCAAAGAGACUACUGAAAAAACAUUCCCAUACAUUGCGUGUGGGAGUAUACAUCGGUGCAGGCUUCCUGGAUGACAGUUGGGUGAUAUGUGUCAUGUGGCCUAGAAGCCUCCAUGUCAUUUGACAUACGAAUUCUAUCUUUGAGAAUUUAUCCUAGGAAAAUACUUAAGGAUUUAGUUAGUGAUAAGAUGUUCAUCCCAGCAUUGCAAUGGAGAAAAAUGGGAAGCAAUGGUUUGGUUGGGAAUUUAUUCCUUUUCUGCUGUAACGAAAGUUUGCAAUAGGGGAUUGCUUAAGUAAAUUAUUGUAUCUCCAUCCAGAUGGUGGAGUACCGCGCAGACGUUAAAAGUCAUGUAAAAGAACAUCUGACUGAAAGAAAAAUGCUCCUUGAAUAUUAAAAGGUUGUAAAAAUAGUGCAUAUUAUGUGAUUUCAAUUUUGUUUUUUAAAAUAUGGGUGUAUCCUUGUAUACGUAGAGCAGAUAAAAAAGAUGGAAGGCAUGCUAAAAAAAAAUGUUUAGUGGUUAUCUUUGUAUGGUGGAACAAAGUCACUAAUUUUCAUCUGGUUUUUCUGUAAUUUCCAAAUUUUCUACAUUGUGUAUUUCAUAUAAUAAAUAUAAUUUAAGAGA